UGCAAUGAACUGAUAUAAAACAUGAGGCAUUUCACCAUAGAAUUAAAACAUGGUGAUGUGGUAGGGUGAGGUGGGCUAUUUCAGAUUGAGUGACCAAGAAAAGCUUCUAAGAGGAGAUAAGAUAUAAACUGAUUCAGGAAUAACUACUGAUUAGCAGAGAAGAUGCAGGUGGGAAUGGGCUUGGGAUGUGUGAAGAGCUGGAAGGCUGAUGUGGCCAAUGGCUCAAGGAGAGGAGAAAAAUUUGAGAGGGAGGCAGGACCAGAACAUUGUGGGUUUAGCAGGCCAAAGAGAAGUAAAGAUUUUAUCCUACAUUGAGGAUUUAUAGUCCAUAUAGACUUUGUUUUUAUAUGUAAUAUGGUAUGUGUGUAGGGGGAGUCUAACUGUCCAUUUGCUUUCAAAUGGAGAGUUCUAUUUUAAAUAAACUAUUCAUUAUUUGCAGGUGGUGGUGGGAACUAGGGUGAUAUUCUACAGAAUCUCACCCCAUUUCAAACACUGUACAGAUAACAUUACUAAAUAAAAUAUUUUUUCAAUUGAAAUUAAACAUAGAACAAGUGUAAUUUUUGUUUUGUGUUGUUUUGCUUUUUUUGUUUUUGUUCUUGUUUUGGAUUUUGGCCAUGCAAUGUGGGAUGCAGGAUCUUAAUUCCCUGACCAGGGAAUGAACCCAUGCCCUCUGCUGUGGAAGUGCUGAGUCCUAACCACUGGAUAAUCAGGAAAGUCCCCAUGAGUAUAUAAUAUUUUUAUCUCAGAGCUGUGACUAUUCAACAAAUCUUUCUAGAACUGCUUUUAAGAAACAUGGUCAGAAGCAGUUUUUAAGUCAUCUCGAGUUAGUACAGAUCAGUCACUCAGUCAUGUCCGACUCUUUGUGAUCCCAUGGACUGUAGCUCGCCAGGCUUCCAAGUCCAUCAAAAACUCAUGGAGCCUGCUCAAACUCAUAUCCAUUGAGUCGGGGAUGCCAUCCAACCAUCUCAGACUAUGUCGUCCCCUUUUCCUCCUUCCCUCAAUCUUGCCCAGCUUCAGGGUCUUUUCCAAUGAAUCAGUUUUUUGCAUCAGGUGGCCAAAGUAUUG
rnacentral:lncRNA from 1 species